CCAAGAUGAGUAUUCCAGCACGUAAGUGUAAAGGACCCUGGAAGACGACCAGGUUGAUAGGUUAUAGGUGGAAGUGCAGUAAUGUGCGUAGCCGAGUAAUACUAAUUGUCCGACAGCUUCCUUUUU
rnacentral:rRNA from 1 species